UGGGGAAUAUUGGACAAUGGGCGGAAGCCUGAUCCAGCCAUGCCGCGUGUGUGAAGAAGGCCUUUUGGUUGUAAAGCACUUUAAGCGAGGAGGAGGCUACUUGGAUUAAUACUCUAGGAUAGUGGACGUUACUCGCAGAAUAAGCACCGGCUAACUCUGUGCCAGCAGCCGCGGUAAUACAGAGGGUGCGAGCGUUAAUCGGAUUUACUGGGCGUAAAGCGUGCGUAGGCGGCUUUUUAAGUCGGAUGUGAAAUCCCUGAGCUUAACUUAGGAAUUGCAUUCGAUACUGGGAAGCUAGAGUAUGGGAGAGGAUGGUAGAAUUCCAGGUGUAGCGGAGAAAUGCGUAGAGAUCUGGAGGAAUACCGAUGGCGAAGGCAGCCAUCUGGCCUAAUACUGACGCUGAGGUACGAAAGCAUGGGGAGCAAACAGG
rnacentral:rRNA from 1 species